UCCCCUAGUAACUGCGAGUGAAGCGGGAAAAGCUCAAAUUUAAAAUCUGGCGGUCUUUGGCCGUCCGAGUUGUAGUCUGGAGAAGCGUCUUCCGCGUUGGACCGUGUACAAGUCUCUUGGAACAGAGCGUCAUAGAGGGUGAGAAUCCCGUCUUUGACACGGACUACCAAUGCUUUGUGAUGCGCUCUCAAAGAGUCGCGUUGUUUGGGAAUGCAGCGCAUAAUGGGAGGUGAAUUCCUUCUAAAGCUAAAUAUUGGGCGAGAGACCGAUAGCGAACAAGUACCGUGCAGGGAAAGAUGAAAAAGCACUUUGGAAAAGAGAGUUAAACAGUACGUGAAAUUGCUCAAAAGGGGAAACGCUUGCAAGUCAGUCGCCGUCGACCGGGAACUCAGCUUUUGCUUCGGGCUUAGCUGCACUUUUCUCGGUUUGACGGGGCCCAGCAUCGCAUUUUUGACCGGCUGGGAACGGGGCUGCGAGGAAAUGUGGCCACCUUCCGGGGUGUGUUUAUUAGCCCUUCAGACCACAUACACGCGACUUGGGGAUCGGAGGCAAUGCAGGCGCGGCCUUUAUGGGCUGGGGGUUUCGUCCCACAUUUCGCAGCUUCAGGUAUGGCUCGGCAUCAAUGGGCUUUUAAAACGAACCCCGUACUUGGAAAUCACGGGACCAAAGGGAGGUCUUAACAUGGCCCUGACUUAGUGCUUUUGGGGUUGUUAAAAACCCCCCAAGUCGCCGUUAAUUGAAAACGGUGCAAAAGUUUGGAAGAACCCUCCUUCUCCGUUGGGAAGGGUGCAUUCCGAACCCCCCCGGGGA
rnacentral:rRNA from 1 species